rnacentral:rRNA from 1 species
AUUGAACGCUGGCGGCAUGAUUAACACAUGCAAGUCGAGCGGCAGCGCGAUUAGUAGCAAUACUAAUUGGCGGCGAGCGGCGGACGGGUGAGUAACACGUAGGAACCUGCCCAGAAGUGGGGGAUAACUAAUGGAAACGUUAGCUAAUACCGCAUACAUUCGGGAGAAGAAAGCUGCAGCAAUGUGGCGCUUUUGGAGGGGCCUGCGUACGAUUAGCUAGUUGGUGAGGUAAUGGCUCACCAACGCGAUGAUCGUUGACUGGUCUGAGAGGCCGACAAGCCACACUGGGGCUGAGACACGGCCCCGACUCCUACGGGAGGCAGCAGUGGGGAAUCUUGGACAAUGGGGGCAACCCUGAUCCAGCGAUGCCGCGUGAGUGAAGAAGGCCCUCGGGUCGUAAAGCUCUUUAGGCUGGGAAGAAGAAUGGUAGAGGAAAUGCUAUCAUUUUGACGGUACCAGCAGAAUAAGCACCGGCAAACUCUGUGCCAGCCGCCGCCUAAUAC